rnacentral:rRNA from 1 species
GCACAGAGUUAGCCGGUGCUUAUUCUGCGAGUAACGUCACUGCUCAAGGGUAUUAACCCAGAGCCAUUCCUCCUCGCUUAAAGUGCUUUACAACCCGAAGGCCUUCUUCACACACGCGGCAUGGCUGGAUCAGGCUUUCGCCCAUUGUCCAAUAUUCCCCACUGCUGCCUCCCGUAGGAGUCUGGACCGUGUCUCAGUUCCAGUGUGGCUGAUCAUCCUCUCAGACCAGCUACGGAUCGUCGCCUUGGUGAGCCUUUACCUCACCAACUAGCUAAUCCGACUUGGGCUCAUCUAAUAGCGAGAGGUCCGAAGAUCCCCCCCUUUCCCCCGUAGGGCGUAUGCGGUAUUAGCGUUCCUUUCGAAACGUUAUCCCCCACUACUAGGCAGAUUCCCAAGCAUUCCUCACCCGUUCGCCGCUAGGACCGAAGUGCCCCGCUCGACUUGCAUGUGUUAAGCCUGCCGCCAGCGUUCAAUG